rnacentral:rRNA from 1 species
CCUACGGGAGGCAGCAGUGGGGAAUAUUGGACAAUGGGGGGAACCCUGAUCCAGCGACGCCGCGUGAGUGACGAAGUAUUUCGGUAUGUAAAGCUCUAUCAGCAGGGAAGAAAGAAAUGACGGUACCUGACUAAGAAGCCCCGGCUAACUACGUGCCAGCAGCCGCGGUAAUACGUAGGGGGUAAGCGUUAUCCGGAUUUACUGGGUGUAAGGGGAGCGUAGACGGCGAUGCAAGUCUGAAGUGAAAGGCGGGGGCCCAACCCCCGGACUGCUUUGGAAACUGUAUGGCUGGAGUGCAGGAGAGGUAAGUGGAAUUCCUAGUGUAGCGGUGAAAUGCGUAGGUAUUAGGAGGAACACCAGUGGCGAAGGCGGCUUACUGGACUGUAACUGACGUUGAGGCUCGAAAGCGUGGGGAGCAAACAGGAUUAGAUACCCUUGUAGUC